AUGCAUCAUCAGCAUGGACUUCUCCAGUACUUCAACAGUCUUCUUUGAACUGAAGUCACUACCUUUUGGAACGAGAGACGUAUCAAGUUGUCCUGCAGUUGCUCAAGAGCAUGAAUACCAACCUCAGGGCAGAUUGUGAAAAUUCACCAGCUGGUGUUUUCUGGGCCAGAUCCUCUGCGGGUGUUAAUUGAGAAGGCUCCACUGAUGUUUCCAUAAAUAUGCUACAUCCUUGGCUCAAAAAUAACCAGAAAAUUGCUGCAAAGAUCAGAAGCAUCAGUGUGGAGCAUAAGGGAAACAGACAGGAAAGAGAGAAAGAUAGACAACACCACUACAAACCACAGAAAAGGUGCUCCAUAUUGUCUGGCAGAAAGGCAGAACUGUGGGAGAUUAGAGAGAUACAAUGUCUGAUAGUAAAC